rnacentral:rRNA from 1 species
ACGGGUGAGUAACGCGUGGGAACAUACCCUUUUCUACGGAAUAGCUCUGGGAAACUGGAAUUAAUACCGUAUACGCCCUACGGGGGAAAGAUUUAUCGGGGAAGGAUUGGCCCGCGUUGGAUUAGCUAGUUGGUGGGGUAAAGGCCUACCAAGGCGACGAUCCAUAGCUGGUCUGAGAGGAUGAUCAGCCACAUUGGGACUGAGACACGGCCCAAACUCCUACGGGAGGCAGCAGUGGGGAAUAUUGGACAAUGGGCGCAAGCCUGAUCCAGCCAUGCCGCGUGAGUGAUGAAGGCCUUAGGGUUGUAAAGCUCUUUCACCGAUGAAGAUAAUGACGGUAGUCGGAGAAGAAGCCCCAGCUAACUUCGUGCCAGCAGCCGCGGUAAUACGAAGGGGGCUAGCGUUGUUCGGAAUUACUGGGCGUAAAGCGCACGUAGGCGGAUAUUUAAGUCAGGGGUGAAAUCCCAGAGCUCAACUCUGGAACUGCCUUUGAUACUGGGUAUCUUGAGUAUGGAAGAGGUAAGUGGAAUUGCGAGUGUAGAGGUGAAAUUCGUAGA